rnacentral:rRNA from 1 species
AGAGUUUGAUCCUGGCUCAGAACGAACGCUGGCGGCGUGGCUAAGACAUGCAAGUCGAACGCGAACGAGAAGCUUGCUUUUCAAGUAGAGUGGCGAAAGGGAGAGUAAUGCAUAGUUAACGUACCCGGGGCACAGGCAUAGCUGUGGGAAACUGCAGGUAAUUCCUGAUAUUCUCGAGAGGUCGCAUGACCUUUCGAGCAAAGUUCCGGCGGCCCUGGAGCGGACUAUGUGCUAUCAGCUUGUUGGUGAGGUAACGGCUCACCAAGGCUCAGACGGCUACCGGGACUGAGAGGUCGGCCCGGCUCAUUGGGACUGAGACACUGCCCAGACUCCUACGGGGGGCUGCAGUAACGAAUAUUCCGCAAUGGGCGCAAGCCUGACGGAGCGACGCCGCGUGCAGGAAGAAGUCCCUCGGGAUGUAAACUGCUGUCAGGGGCUAGAAAGGUUCAUUUCGGUGAAAUUGAUCAGCCCCAGAGGAAGCCACGGCUAACUUCGUGCCAGCAGCCGCGGUAAUACGAAGGUGGCAAGCGUUGUUCGGAAUCACUGGGCUUGAAGGGCGUGUAGGCGGCCAGGCAAGUCAGAGGUGAAAUCCCUCGGCUCAACCGAGGAAUUGCCUUUGAAACUGCCUGGCUUGAGCUGCGUAGGGGUCCGUGGAACUCUCGGUGGAGCGGUGGAAUGCGUAGAUAUCGAGAGGAACGCCGAUGGUGAAAACAGCGGACUGGGCGCAUGCUGACGCUGAGGCGCGAAAGCGUGGGGAGCAAACGGGAUUAGAUACCCCGGUAGUCCACGCUGUAAACGAUGUGCACUAGGUCGAGGGGGUUCUGAAGCCUCCUGGGCCGAAGCAAAAGUGUUAAGUGCACCGGCUGGGGAGUACGGUCGCAAGGCUAAAACUCAAAGGAAUUGACGGGGGCUCACACAAGCGGUGGAGCAUGUGGUUCAAUUCCAGGCAACGCGCAGGUCCUUUCCUGGGUUUGACAUGUACGGAUGCGCCCCUGGAAACAGGGGGCGGUUGCCCUUGAGGUGCCCUUGAAACGUGUUGCAUGGCUGUCGUCAGCUCGUGUCGUGAGAUGUCGGGUUAAGUCCCAUAACGAGCGAAACCCCUGUCGUUAGUUGCCAGCGGGUUAUGCCGGGAACUCUAACGAGACUGCCGGUGUUAAACCGGAGGAAGGUGGGGACGACGUCAAGUCAUCAUGGCCUUUAUGCCCAGGGCCACACACGUGCUACAAUGGCGUGUACAGAGCGACGCGAGGCCGCGAGGCGGAGCAAAUCGCAAAAAACACGCCCCAGUUCGGAUUGCAGUCUGCAACUCGACUGCAUGAAGUUGGAAUCGCUAGUAAUCCCGGAUCAGCACGCCGGGGUGAAUACGUUCCCGGGCCUUGUACACACCGCCCGUCACAUCACGAAAGUCGGCUGUACCGGAAGCCAGUGGGCUAACCCGCAAGGGAGGCAACUGUCCAUGGUGUGGUCGGCGAUU